GCGCCGAGGAGGAGGACGACGAAGAGGAGGAGAGCGACCCAAGCAGUCGGAGCGGCCGCAAAGACAGGCAUUACCGUUCUGCCCACGUGGAGACACCUUCCUACACAGGGGGUGUGAGUGAGGAGUUUUGGGAACGCAGCCGGCAGCGGGAAAGGGAGCGUCGGGAGCAAGGUGUCUUUGCUUCCUCUAAGGAGGAGAAGGAACGAAAGAAGGAACGCAGUAGGGAUCGGGACCAUGACCGUAAACGGGACCGAGAGGAGCGGGACAAAAGUCGUCACAGCAGCAGAUCAGAAAGGGAUGGCUCAUCAGAGCGGAGCAGCAGGAGGAGUGAACCAGAGAGUCCGAGACACAGACCGAAAGAUUCAGCCACACCAUCUCGCUCCAGCUGGGAGGAGGAUGAUAGUGGUUACAGCAGUACCCGCCGCUCACAGUGGGAAUCUCCAUCGCCUGUGUCUUCCUAUCGGGACUCUGAGCGCAGCCACAGGGCGUCGUCCUUGCGAGACACAGAUCGAAGAGAUCGGGACAGGUCCGUGAGGAGCAGGUACUGGGAUAAGACGCCGUUGCCCACCCCAUCGUACAAAUAUAAUGAGUGGGCUGAUGACCGGAGACACUUGGGGGCCACGCCACGGCUGUCCAGAGGUAAAGGGCGGCGUGAAGAUGGGGAAGAGGGCAUUGCCUUUGAGACGGAGGAGGAGCGGCAGCAGUGGGAGGAUGACCAGCGGCAAGCUGACCGGGACUGGUAUAUGAUGGACGAGGGCUAUGACGAGUUUCACAAUCCCUUGGCCUACUCCUCUGAGGAGUACGUGAAGAAGCGGGAGCAGCACCUGCACAAGCAGAGGCAGAAGCGCAUCUCUGCGCAGCGGCGGCAGAUCAAUGAGGAUAACGAGCGCUGGGAGACAAAUCGCAUGCUAACCAGUGGUGUGGUUCAUCGGCUUGAAGUGGAUGAAGACUUUGAGGAGGAUAACUCGGCUAAAGUGCAUCUGCUGGUGCACAACCUGGUGCCCCCUUUCCUAGAUGGGAGGAUAGUCUUCACCAAGCAGCCAGAGCCAGUCAUCCCUGUCAAGGAUGCCACCUCAGAUUUGGCCAUCAUUGCUCGGAAAGGCAGUCAACUGGUGCGCAAGCACAGGGAGCAAAAGGAGCGUAAGAGGGCUCAGCAUAAACACUGGGAACUGGCAGGCACAAAACUGGGAGACAUUAUGGGGAUCAAAAAGGAGGAAGAGAAGGACGAGAUGGUGACGGAAGAUGGCAAAGUGGAUUACAGGACUGAGCAGAAGUUUGCUGAACACAUGAAAGAAAAGAGUGAAGCAAGCAGUGAGUUUGCCAAGAAGAAAUCAAUCCUGGAGCAGAGACAAUAUCUGCCCAUUUUUGCUGUGCAGCAGGAGCUGCUCUCCAUUCUCAGGGACAACAGCAUUGUGAUUGUGGUGGGGGAGACGGGGAGUGGGAAGACAACUCAGCUGACGCAGUACCUCCAUGAGGAUGGCUACACAGACUAUGGCAUGAUUGGCUGCACCCAGCCCCGCAGAGUUGCAGCUAUGUCGGUUGCCAAGCGAGUCAGUGAAGAGAUGGGGGUGCGUCUGGGAGAGGAGGUGGGCUAUGCCAUCCGCUUUGAGGACUGCACAUCAGAGAACACAGUGAUCAAAUACAUGACGGAUGGGAUCCUCCUCCGUGAGUCACUGCGAGAGGCUGACCUGGACCACUACAGUGCUAUCAUCAUGGAUGAGGCACACGAGCGCUCGCUCAACACUGAUGUACUCUUUGGCCUGCUUCGGGAGGUGGUGGCCCGACGCUCAGAUCUGAAGCUUGUUGUCACCUCGGCCACCAUGGAUGCAGAUAAGUUUGCUUCUUUCUUUGGGAACGUUCCCAUUUUCCACAUUCCUGGGCGCACGUUUCCUGUCGACAUUCUCUUCAGCAAGACCCCCCAAGAGGAUUAUGUGGAGGCUGCAGUGAAACAAGCCCUACAGGUGCAUCUGUCUGGUGCUCCUGGAGACAUCCUCGUCUUCAUGCCUGGCCAGGAAGACAUCGAGGUGACCUCAGAGCAAAUUGUGGAGCACCUUGAGGAGCUGGAGAAGGCACCUGCUCUUGCUGUACUGCCCAUCUAUUCUCAGCUACCCUCAGACUUGCAGGCCAAGAUCUUCCAGAAGGCUCCGGAUGGGGUCAGGAAGUGUAUUGUUGCCACCAACAUCGCAGAGACCUCACUGACAGUGGAUGGCAUCAUGUUUGUGAUUGACUCUGGCUACUGCAAGUUGAAGGUUUUCAACCCCCGCAUAGGCAUGGAUGCACUGCAGAUCUACCCCAUCAGUCAAGCAAAUGCCAAUCAGAGGGCAGGCCGAGCAGGCCGGACAGGCCCAGGUCACUGCUUCAGGCUCUACACCCAGAGCGCCUACAAGAACGAGCUCCUCACCACGACUGUGCCCGAAAUCCAGCGCACCAACCUUGCCAACGUGGUGCUUUUGCUCAAGUCUCUGGGUGUGCAGGACCUGCUGCAGUUCCACUUCAUGGAUCCACCCCCUGAGGACAACAUGCUGAACUCCAUGUACCAGCUGUGGAUCCUGGGAGCGCUGGAUAACACAGGUGGUCUGACCUCUACGGGUCGUCUUAUGGUGGAGUUCCCCCUGGAUCCUGCACUCUCCAAAAUGCUCAUUGUUUCCUGUGACAUGGGUUGCAGUUCUGAGAUCUUGCUCAUUGUCUCCAUGCUGUCUGUGCCUGCCAUCUUCUAUCGGCCUAAGGGCCGAGAGGAGGAGAGCGACCAGGUGCGUGAGAAAUUUGCCGUCCCAGAGAGCGAUCAUUUGACUUACCUGAAUGUUUACCUGCAAUGGAAGAACAACAACUACUCUACGCUGUGGUGCAACCAGCAUUUCAUCCAUGCCAAGGCCAUGCGGAAGGUGCGAGAAGUGCGUGCCCAGCUCAAGGACAUCAUGGUGCAGCAGCGGAUGAGCCUGGCAUCCUGUGGCACUGACUGGGAUGUUGUCAGGAAGUGCAUCUGUGCUGCGUAUUUCCAUCAGGCUGCAAAGCUGAAGGUGAGAGGGCUCUGUGCUCUGUGUGGGGGAUGAGAGGCUGUGUCUGUCACAUGUAUGCUAACCACACUUCUCUGUGCAGGGUAUUGGGGAGUAUGUGAACAUCCGCACAGGCAUGCCCUGCCACCUGCACCCCACAAGCUCCCUGUUUGGCAUGGGCUACACACCAGACUACAUUGUGUAUCAUGAACUGGUCAUGACCACCAAGGAAUACAUGCAAUGCGUCACUGCUGUGGAUGGAGAGUGGCUGGCAGAGCUGGGCCCCAUGUUCUACAGUAUCAAACAUGCUGGCAAGUCACGUCAGGAGAACCGCCGCCGUGCCAAGGAGGAAGCGUCCCUCAUGGAGGAGGAGAUGGCUCUAGCUGAGCAGCAGCUGCGUGCCCGCCGGGAGGAACAGGAGCGCCGUAACCCACUGGGCAGUGCGAGGUCUACUAAAAUCUACACCCCUGGGCGGAAGGAGCAGGGGGAGCCCCUGACACCACGACGCACCCCAGCCCGCUUUGGCCUCUGAGAAGAAAGUGCCCGUUGCUUCGAGGCUUAUGGGCUUCCAGGAGCAGCUGAGUCUCAGGAGAGCUGCCAAGCUCCCCAACUGCUCGGCUCGUUACAGCUUGUGGCCCAGGAAGGCUUUGGUGCUUGGCACUACUUUUGCUACGGAACAGAAAUAAUUUUAUUUGUUUAAAGGUUGUUAGUCUUUGA